GUUCACCCGACCCGACUUGAUUUUCUUCCUCUCAUGUUUUCCCGGGAAAACCCUUCUUUCCCUUUCUAGCUUUCUCCGGGAAAAUUUUCCGAUCCGUUGCAAACCGUUCAUCAUCUUCCGUUCUGUAACAGAUCUCGACGACCUGCGAGGCUGCGAUGGAGAUUCGCAUCGGAAGAGGCUACGCGUGGGCCAUCGCCGCCGGAUUCAUGGCCGCUCUCGCCGCCAUUUCCGCCAAGUUCUUCUCCUCUCAGGUCAUUAAGUAUGGUUUUGUCAUACUGUUCAAUGUUACAAUGUGGGGAUGUUAUGUCAACAGCCUAAAGAGUCUCGUCUCUUCAAGCCACAGUUACGAACUUUGCGACAAAUUUCCUCACUUCUGGAUUAGCUGGGUUCUUUUUGUUUGAUGAGUCAUUGAGAUACCAGUGGUUUGCAGGUGCACUUUUCAUAGUGAUUGGUGUGCUAAUUCUCAGCAAAUCAAGUAUUGAGAAGAAAACUAGAGUUGAUUGAAAGUUCUCAGUUUAUGAGAGAUACCAUACGCCAUGCUUGAAGAUGACUUAGUAGAGAUCAGAAGUUCCAUUUUUGUGCCACUCUCAAGGAAAGGAGAAAAUGAAGUUGAGAAUUGAGGAUAUAAAGGGUGUUUCCUUCCUGGCCGGUGAUUCCGUGGGAACGAUCACUACUUGUCGUGACUGGCAGCACCAAGGAUGCUAUGUUGUUAAUGCCAGGAUUGCUAUGUUACUGUCAAUGGUGACUGUACAAUAUAGCUACAAGGCAAGCUGCAAAGAAGACAGAUUUGUGUUUAGAGAUGGGAUCCUAUCCUACCUUUUCACCAUGCCAAACGAGUAGGCUAAAACAUUGGUAAGUGAACCCUAAUUUAGGCGCUCUCGAAAGGCUGAAUGUGUCGUGCGCGCUUCGUGAGCGUGAAGCUAAAAGAUCAUCUUUACAUUGAUAUAACUCAAGGCCUUGAUGUGAGCUUAUGCCGACAUGUGGUAUAAUUUUAUUUUAUUUUUUU